UGUAACUCGGAAUAGUAAUAGUCGAGCCACUUCGAGUCAGUGACCUGCUUCUGUCUGGCUGCCCGUUUCUGAUGAGCAACCCGCCCCGCGGGCCAUAAACAUCUAUUUGCACAGACCUUGCAACACCCUGUCGCCAGGUUAUCCCUGUGUGUUCCUUUUAAUUAUUUUUUUUUAAUGUUUAUUUAUUUUUGAGAGAGCAAGCAGGGGAGGGGCAGAGAGGGACGGAGGCACAGAAUCUGAAGCAGGCUCCAGGCUCCGAGCUGUCAGCACUGAGCCCGACCCGGGGCUGGAACCCACGAACUGUGAGAUCAUGACCUGAGCCGAAGUGGGACACUUAACCCACCGAGCCACCCAGGCGCCCCCAUCGCCAUGUGUUUCUAACCGGAAAAAGGGAACGUAAACAACGUUGUUGUUGUUCACCAGAUCGCGUACUUUACCCACGCCCGAGCCGCCCGACCAGUUGACCCAAGGAGCCAGGUUCCAAUGCACAUAGUUGUGAGAGAGCCAAACAGAGCUUCACAGUUCGUUGUGAAAAGCAGCGACCGCAUUCUCCCUUCUUCUCCAGAGCCAAGCACUUUCACCUGGCUUCCCAGAUCGUCUCCUUUCCUCUUCUCAGCCUUGCAGCUUUGUCUUCAGAAACAAAAGUGGUGGGAAAAAAACAAACAAACAAACCAGAAAUGAUUUUUGUGGGUUUUUGAGAAGGAACGAAAUUAAAUGUGCCCAGGGGCCCCUUGGUGGCUCCGUGGGUAAAGCGUCAACUUCAGCUCGGGUCAUGAUCUCACUUGGUGGUUUCGAGCCCACCUUGGGCUCUGCGCUGUCAAUGCAAAGCUCGCCUGGGAUCCUCUGUCUCCCCCUCUCUCUCUGCCCUUACCCCCCCCCCCCCGCUCAUGGUCUCUCUCUCAAAAAUAAACUUAAAAAAAUUAAACGUACCCAGUUUGCCAUUUUUAACUGGAAACGUAAUUUUUUUUACACCCUGGAGGCUCCUCCUAGCGGCCGUUUCGCGGGCUCCCCCUAGCGGCACAGCGCGUCUGGCCGAGCCUGUUGCUCCCGUCAAGCUCAGCCUCUUCUUCGCUUACCACCCCAACCUCCAGGCUGUGACUGCACCCUCGCCCGGGCGCGAACUUUCCCGCACUGCUCCCCACACACCAGCUGGCUUGGGGAGACCCUCAGAGCUCCCGGUUCUCAGGGCAUGCCCCUCCUCCCGGGGCGAAUUAUCGGAGGCGGUGGCGGCUCCCUCUGGUGACCCCUCUGCUGGUGGGGCGAUGCCCUGGGGCAGUCCCUCUGGUCUUUUCAGCUCGCUUCCCUGCCCGCCCCGUGAACACGCUCGGGCAAAGGUGACCAGGGCUCCGGCUUUCUUGGCCUGCUGGCUCUGGGGACGAGCCUGUGCCCUCUGGCUGGACGGAGGGAGGGAGGCCCUGACUUCUCGGCGGGGCCCGCCAGGAACCGAGUCCCUGCAGCACAGAGGCAAAAUUUCUGACCUGUCUCUGGAGCUGGGGGUGGGGACAAUGGCACUCUUCUCUCAGUGACACCCACUUUAGGAGUUGAGCUGUACGUGGAAAGAGGGCAGCAGUCUCAGGUCUUCUCUAUUUGCCUCUAGUGUGAUAUCACCAUUUCACAAGCUAAGGUAAGGGUGAUUAGGGCCAAAAUAUUCUGGGUAAUGUGGCACCCCAGGCAGAAUCUCUGCCUCCUGAAUGGAGCGUGGGUAGAAGAAGGGAGCCCCCACCUCUUGGCUGCACUCACUCGGAACUUAGCCCCAGCAACAGGUAGCUGGAGGUGGGAUAAGAACUGAUGCCCCACCCCUUUUGGGAAGACAGCCCUCUGGCUGGCACGAGUGGGGAGAGGGGGUUCUGUGUUCUUGGCUGUGCUGGUCUGGGGUGGAGAUUCAGUCUCACUGAACUGGGAGGGGGAGGAAGGAAUCUUGCUUCAAAUGCCACAAGCUCUUACUGUUUUCUUUUUCCCAAAUUUUAGGAAAUUUUCACAAAUAGAUGUUUUUCAUUUGCUAUCUGCCCUUAGGGCAAUGGUUGUGUUGUUUGUUUUUAGUAUCACCAAUUUUUGUUAGGUGAAUGAAUUUGCAGAGCUUCUCAUGCUGUUAUGGUAGAAGUCAAUCUCUCAGCACCAUCUAUUCUUACACUCUUGUAUUGCCAUUUAAUUUUUCUUAAUUUAUCUCUUCUAGUUAUCCUAGAUGUAUCUUUGUAAGAUACCUCAAAUACUUUUCAGAGUAAAGUAAGUAAAAGUGAAAUUUAUAGCACCUAUUAAUAAAAUCCACUUCUCAUCUGUCAAGGUUCUCUUAUAUUUUUAUAAACAGCAAAUAACAUAAGCAAAGUUUUAAUCACUAACAUUUCCCAGGGCAAAAAUUUGGGGAUAGAAAGUGUAACAGGAAACAACUUGCCAUUCUCUUGCAACCAUUUUUCAAAAACUGUUAAAAACCAGGUCAGUGAAUACCUGUGGUUCUUCUCUGGUGUUUUGAUUACUUGCUAUGGUAGAAUUUCUUUCCUUCUUUGUUUUCAAGUGUUUUUUCUUGUUUUUUAGCUAAGUAAAAGAAUCAUACUUGAAAUCAAUAUUUAAUCAACACACCAAAGACAGUAUAUAUGUGGACAUAAAGCUAUCUUGAGACUUCCACUUCUAGGAAGAUAAAGUACUUCUUCUAUCCCUCCCACUAAGUACAACUGAAAAUCCUGGGUAUCGUACACAAAAUAAGCAUAAGAGGCCCUAAAAAGCAGAAAGAAGAAGGUAGUCUGGUGAGGGACUUCAGGAGCAGAGGACAGAAGAAUAGUGAGUAAUUCCUGUGUUUUGUUUUUACUUACAUAUCCCAGCUUUAGAGCCAGAGAAGCCAUCAACCCAGAAGUGCCAAUGAGUGAAGAAAUAAUGGAUGAAAAUUUGAUGAAACUUCCCAAAUGUGAUGAAAGAUAUGAUGUAAACAUCCAAGAAGCUCAAUGAGCUCCAAGUAAGAUGACCUCAAAAACCCACAAUGAAACACAUUGUAAUUAAUCUAAGAGAAAGAGAGAAUCUUGAAAGUAGCAAGAGAAAAGCAAAUUGUUACGUGGAAGAAUCCUCAAUAAGAUUAUUAGCAGAUUUCUCAUCAGAAACUGGAGGCCAGAAGACCAUAAACCAAUACAUUCAAAGUGCUUUUAAAAAGUGGCAUUAUUGUCCUUCAAAAGUUAGGAAGAAAUUAAGACAUUCCCAGAUAAACAAAAGCUGAAAGAGUUCAUGACCACUAGACACAUCCUGUAAGAAAUGCUCAAGAGAGUCCUACAAGGUGAAAAGACACUGGAAACUAACUUGAAUCUGUAGGGAGAAAUAAAGAUCUGAACACAGGCAAUUAUAAAAGCUAGCAUAUCACUGUAGCAAUGGUUUUAAAGAGCACUUUUUGUUUUCCAAUACAUUUAAAGAAAAACAAAGCAGUUAAUAAUACAGUUUCAUCCUGCUGUGAUCAGAGAAGAUACUCUGUAAGACAGCUAGCUUUUAAAAUCUUACUUAUUAAGACUUACUUACUUAUUACGACUAUUAACAAUUAUAUAGCAACAAAUUAGAUAAUAUAGAUAAAAUGGACAAAUUCCUAGAAACACAAAACCUACCAAGACUAUAUCACAAAGAAAUAGAAAAUAUGAACAGACCUAUAACUGAUAAUGAAUCAGCAAUAAAAAAAUCUCCCAACCACAAACUGUAGACGUGAUGGCUUCACAGGAGAAUUCUACCAAACAUUUAAAGAACAUCAGUACUUCUCAAACCUUUCUAAAAAACUCAAGAGUAGGGAACACUUCCUAACUCAUUCUAUGAGGCCAGCAUUAUCCUGAUACCCAAAGCCAGACAGACACUACAAGAACAAAAAAAUUUAUAGAUCAGCAUGUCUUAUGAACAUUAAUGCAAAAAAUCCUCAACAAAAUACUAGCAAAUAAAAAUCGGCAGCAUAUUAAAAGGAUUGUACACAAUGACCAAAUAGGAUUUAUUCCUGGAAUGUAAGGAUGGUUCAACAUAAUCAAUUGAUCAGAAUGUAAGGAUGGUUCAAACGUAAGAAACUAAUGAACGUAAAACACCACAUCAACAUAAUAAAGGAAAAGACCUCACAUGAACAUCUCAAUUGAUGCAGAAAAGGCAUCUGACAAAAUUCAACACCUUUUCAUGAUUAAAAAACCCAACAGACAAGGCAUAGAAGGAAACCACCUCAACACAAUAAAAAAAAACUAUAGCGGACAUGUUUGAUGGUGAAAUGCUGAAAGCAUUUCCUUUAAGAUCAUGAACAAGUAAGGAUGUCUGUUUUCAUCACUUCUAUUCAACACAAUACUGGAAAUUAUAGCCAGAGCAACUAAGCACAAAAAUGAAAUAGAAGGUAUCCAAAUGGGAAAGAAGUAAAAUGAUCUCUGUAGAUGAUAUGAUCUUAUAUUUUAAAAACUCUAAAGAGUCCACAAAAAACCUGUUUGAACUACUAAAUUAAGUCAGCAAUACAGCAAGAUACAAAGUUACCACACAAAAAUCAACUGCAUUUUUAUACACAGAGAACUUGAAAAGGAAAUUACAAAAGCAAUUCCAUGUACAAUAGCAUCAAAAAGAAUAAAAUACUUAGGAAUUAACCAAGAAGGUGAAAGAAAACUUCAUCUUCUUGUACAAAAAAACUACAGUGACUACAAAACAUUGUUGAAAGGAAUUAAAGAAGACAUAAGUACAUGAAAGCGUAUCUCUUAUUCAUGAAAUGUAAGUCCUAAUAUUAUUAAAAUAUCAAUAUUACCCAAAGCAAUCUAUGGAUUCAAUGCAAUCCCUAUAAAAAUCCCAAUGACUUUUUUUUUUGCAGAAAUAGAAAAAUCCAUCCCAAUAUUCAAAGGAUCCCAAAUAGCCAAAAUAAUCUGGGGGGGGGGGUGGCGGUGGGGAAGGAACAAAAUUGGAGGGUUCAUACUUUGAUUUCAAAAUUUACUACAAAGCUACAGUAAUCAAAACAGUGUGGCAUUGGCAUAAAGAUAGCCAUAUAGACCAAAGAAAAAGAAUAGAGAGCCAAUAAAGAAAUCCUUGCAUACAGUCAAAUGAUUUUUGACAGGGGUGUCAAGACGAUUCAAUGGGUGAAGGACAGUCUUUUUAACACAUGGUGCUCAGAAAAUUGUAUCUCCACUUGCAAAAGAAUGGGCCUUUACCUUAUACCAAACACAAAAAUUAACUCAAAAUAGAUCAAGGACCUAAAUGUAAGACCCAAAAGGAUAACACUCUUAGAAGAAAACAGGACAAAACUUCACAACACUGGAUUUGGCAAUGACUUAUUGGAUAUGAUACUAAAGGCUAAAAGCCAAUAAGGGCAGUACUGAGGUCUUCAGCCCAACAGCUUUUGAAGAACAGCUUUUGAAUUUUGUCAACAAUCAUGUAAGUGAGCUUAAAAGCGGAUCUUUUCUCAGUCAAGUCUUCAGAUGAGACCACCUGACCAACACCUUCAUUGCAGCCUUUUGAGAGACCUCAGACAGAAGCACAUAGUGAAGCCACUCCUGAGUACCUGUCUCAUGGAAAUGGCAUGAAAAUAAGUAUCUGUUGUUUUGGGCAACUGCUUGGGGAAAUUUGUUGUUCAGCAAUAGAAAACCAAUACAACAUCCGUCUUACUCCAUUUCAGCUGCUAUAACAAAAUACCACAGACUGUGUGGCUAAAAAGAACAGCAAUUUAUUCCUCCUAGUUCUUCAGGCUGGAAGGUAGAGGUCAAUGUGCCAGUAUGGUCAGGUGAGCACUCUCUUUUGAGCUGCCAACUUCUCGUUUGUAUCCUCAUAUGGUAGAAGGGGCUAGGCAUCUCUCUGGAGCUCUUUAAUAAGGCACUAAUCCAGAGGGCUCUGCCCCAUGACCUAAUCACUUCCCAAAGGGCCCACCUUCCAGUACCAUCAUAUUGGGCAUUAUAAUUUCAACAUAUGAGUUUGGGGAAGAUAGAAUUAUUCAGACAUAGCAUUCUGUCCCUGAGCCCUCCAAAUUCAGGUCCUUCUCACAUGCAAGAUACAUUUAUUCCAUCCCAUUCCAUUCCAACAAGUUAAAGGUUUCCAAAAUACAGUGAUGGGACAGAUAUAGGACAGACAUUCCCAAAGGGAGAAACAGAAAAGGAUGGAGUGCUGGGUUGCCAGUAAGGACAUAGAAAAAUCUAGCAAGGCAAAUUCAACAAGAUCUUAAAGCUCAAGAAUAAUCCUCUCUGGUUCAAUGGACUGCCUUCUGGACCUACUGGAGUGGCAACAUCACCUGUACGGCUUGGCAGGGUGCUGCUAAUGCCUGGCUCUCUGCUAGGGCACUGCCCACAAUGUAGGUCAUGGCUCGAGGCAGCUUGCCUUCAUAGCCUCUGUUAGAGGCUGUUUAUCCUGUUGAAAUCCAGGUGGUAGUGGCCCUGAUGAUCUCUUAGUUACCUCUGAGGCCAUUUUUCCCCCUUGUCUUGAAGAAGAGUGCAUGUUCACAAAUAGAUCUAUGGUACCGUACUGUAAAAUUCAAGCAGUCUGAUAGCCUUCCUUCAUUCUGUCCUGUCUCCAACCCCUUCAGUUCAAGCUGGCAGUCUUCCUAAUGGGGUGACUAGUGGUUAGUUCUGUGGUUCAUACCCACACUAGUCUCCUUAUCAUACAGUUGAUCCCCCACACUCUUACUCUUCUUUUCUGAACACACGUUCCUAUUGUUUUGUAACAUGGGUAGGCUGAGAAUUUUUUAAAUCUUCACCUUCUGGUUCCUUUUCGCUUAACAAUUCCUUCUUCAUUUCUCUCUCCUUGUUUUUUACUAUAAGCAGUCAGGAGGAAUCAAGCUGCUCUUCAACACUUUACAAAGAAACUUUUUCAGCUAAAUCUCCAAUUUUAUUACUCACAAGUUCUACCUUCCAUGAAACGCUAUAGAACACAAACUCAAUACAGCCAAAUCCUUUACCAUUUUAUAGUAAGGAUUAAAUUUUCUCUAUUGGUCAGUAACAUGUUCGUUUCUGUCUGAGAUCUCAUGAAAAUCACCCUUAAUAUUCAGAUUCCUACCAACGUCCUAUACACUAUUAGUUGUGUGUGUUUAAGAUGGAAACUUGCUCUACAGCUCCCCUUUUUUCUUUCUGAGUCCUUACCAGAAUCAUCUUGAGAAGUCCCUUCAUGGCAAUAUCAGCAUUUUCUAACAUGCACUUCAAAACUCUGCCAGACUCUACCAGUUAUCCAGUUCCAAAGCCACUUCCACAGUUUUAGGUAUUAGUUACAAUAGCACCCCACACUCGGUACUAAGAGAGUAGUGUCUUAGUUUGUCUUAGUCACUUCCUAACACCGUCACAUUGAUGGUUAGGGUUUCAACGUGUGUAGUAUUUGGUGGGGACAUAAGCAGUCCAUAACACCACCUAAACUUCCUUCUCCUCCUCCCACUCUAUAUUCCUCCUUAGGCACUUAUCACAUAUUAGGCACAUCAUAUAUUUUACUUAUCAUUAUUUUUUAUUUCCACCCACUAGAAUAUAAGCUAUGAAAGAGAAGGAUUUUUGUCUCAUUUUUUGUUCACUGCUCUAUCCCCAGCACACAGUUGAAGCUCAAUAUAUAGUUGUUAAAUAAAUGAAUAAAUGAACACUGGAUUUGCAGGCAUGUGAUGUAUGUUAUGGUACCAACUCUCAUUAGCAAGUGGUUAAUUUGUAUUAACAAGUUGUUAACAAGUGGCUUUUGAGAAGUAAUCUCUCUGGAUCUUUAAAGUAAGAGUGUUAAAAAUCCUAAGGUUAGAAAAUUCUAUGAUUUAAAGAUAUGUUACAUAAUCAGAAAAUAACAAUUACUGUUACACAAUUACACAACUGCAAGCAUUUUUUUUUGCCUGAUUAUUAGUCAUAAUGAGAAGAGUACCUAUUUAGUAUAUCCAUACCAUAGGCAGAAAUUUUCAAUCAUACCUGAGAAGUUAAUUUGAGAAGGUAAGUCUGAGACUCAUUGGAUUCUGAACUGUCAGACCCUCGGCUACUAAAAAAAAAAAAACUUUGAUAUAGUAAUUAUUUUAAUUAUUAUAUUUAUAAUUAUAUUUUAUAUUUACAAGUAACUUAUUAAUUAUAUAUUAUAAAUAUUAAAACAAUAAUAUUUUGGUGGCAUUUUAAAAUUUCAACUGUUAUUUUUAUUAAACUGUUAUCUUAUUGGAACGGUAGAAAUGGUUCUAAUUAUAAGAAUGUUUACAGGGGCGCCUGGGUGGCUCAGUUGGUUAAGCGUCUGGCUUCCACUCAGGUCAUGAUCUCAUGGUUCGUGAGUUCAAGCCCUGCGUCGGGCUCUGUGCUGACAGCUCAGAGCCUGAGCCUGCUUUGGAUUCUGUGUCUCCCUCUCUUUCUGCCCCUCCCCCACUCACGCUCUGUCUCUGUCUCUCUCCCUCUCUCCUCUACCUAUAGUUGGGAUUUUCAGUUGAGACUGAUAAUUUUAUAUCCUACAGUUAUUAUUAAGGGCAUAGUAAAACACAAGUUAUAUUACAUCCACUAUCUUGACUUACCUAGACUCUAGAUCCAAUGCAAUUUCUUUCAGAGAAGUAUCUGAAUCCUCAAGGACUUUUUCCAAAUUUAUAUGUUUUUCCAUCUCUUCCAAUUCUUUCAGGCACUGAUAGUACUAGGGGAAAAUGAUAAAUUAAUUAUAAAUUAACUUUAUUUCCUAAUUAAACUAAUUGAAUAUUUAUAGAUACCUGGCACAACAACUAUGAGGACAUCAAGUACCAAAAACCCCAAACACUGUUGGGAUAGUAAAAGAAAAACACUGCUAUAGGCCCUUAGUUAGAUUAUGUUAUCUGAUAAAGUGGAGUCUGAAGCAUUACCAAAUGGACUUUGCUUACCUUGGUUCGGUCUGGGUCACAAUAGUCCAAAAGAGAAUCACAAAAAUGAUACCCCAUCGACUCCAAGUCUUUUAUGUUGAAAUGAGUACCUCGUUUAUUACCUAAAACAUCAAUAAGUUUAACCACCAUUUGUCCUUAACAGGCAGGCUUACGUUCUGUGUUUUCACAGAGUAUAAAUAAAACCUCUGGUCAGAUUCCAUCUCCUGUCCUUUGGAUUUGCUUCUCCAGGGCAAGUCAUUUAACAGCUUAUUGCUUUCCUUCAUUCCCUCUCCACAUCUGGAUCAAAGCUGACUUAACACAUAGUAGGCUAUGUUGUAGGGCUGAAGAAUAUUUAAUAAGAACAUAUGGAAUACUUGGUUAUCAGUUAUAAACAUGCUCAUAAUCACUUAGAGAAAAACUUGGGUAAAUAUUUUAAUGUUUUCAUCAUCAUAGAUACCAUUAUAUCAGUUUCAAGGUGCUUUAAAGACCAGAAAUACAUGUGUGGGUUUCUAGCACUUUCCUUUGAGUCAAUAAAUUUUCUAAAAACAUAACCAUUAUCUUAAUAUGGAAUAUUCUAAGGGUAAACCAAAAGAUUUCUUAAAUGUAACUACAGAGCACAAUUUUAAAAACAUUUUUAAAAAAUAUUUAUUUUUGAGAGAGAGACAGCACAAGAGGGGGAGGGACACAGAUUUUGAAGCAGGCUCCAGGCUCUGAGCUGUCAGCACAGAGCCUGAUGCAGGCAAGGUUUGAACUCACUUGAACUCACGCAGGAUCAUGACCUGAGCCAAAGUCAGAUGCUUAACUGACUGAGCCACCCAGGUGCCUCCCCACACUUUUAUUUUUAAAGGAAACAAGUGCUUCCAUUAAAAUAUAAAUUGACCCCCCAAGGAACCCCCAACAAACCCAGUCUAUUUUGACUUGCAGAUAGCAAAUCCACUAAAGACAUGUCUAUCCUGAUGUUUUAAGUAUGAACAUUGCUUUUUCUUGCAAUCAGGAGUCAUCUGUAAGGACUCUUUCUUAAAAACAUAACAAAAAAAAAUUAGUUCAUGAAAUAACCAAUUAGGUAUGUUAUCUAUAUGUUAAAACUCCCUUUUCUAAACAAAGGGAAAAUGAUGAGAUGGAGAUGCAUAUAGUGGUAGUUUGUUUAUUCAUCCUGUUUAGAGAAUUGAUUGGACACCAGCAUGUUUCUAAGUAGGAAGAAAGUGCUCACUAUCAAACUGUCUACACUAUUAAUCUUAUGUUAAAAACGACUCUUUGGUUUGAAGCUCUGACAGCCAUGAAUGAGAAUACUUGGUCUUACCCAGGGUAGAUCCACAAAAAGUAGCCUCCAUGGUGAAGCUGUUCUUGAUUCCCAUUUUCCACAUUACCACCCUUCCUGUUCCCUCUUUGCUCUUCUGAACAUUAAACUUGCAAGCUGAGAAUGAAAACUAAAAAUAAGCAAAUAAAAAUGAGAAAAAUGUGUUUUUCUGAGUACAAUGUCUUUCUCAGAACUAGGAUUGAAAAGGAGGAAGUAGUGCAAAAGCAGUAAUUCUCUCUAAAGUUUCACGGGCUUUUAUUUCCUAAGGAUGACAUAUUUACAUUUCUGAGAACUACAGAUUUGAAUGCUGGUAAUAAAUUUUACUUUUAAUCUAUAUAAAACAUAUACCUUCAAAACCUAUUAAUUCUUGAUACUGUUAGGAUAAGAUCUUAUACUUUAAAAAACUUAUAGGAAAGGGCUUAAAUAUGUUUAGAAAUAAAGAUUAAUGUAGAUUAAAAAAA